UUAAUUAUAUCUUCAUAUAAUAUAUACAUAGCUUUUCUUUUAAUAAUCUCAUAUUGUGAUCAAUUACUAUAUUUACUAGUACAAGUCACAAUGGUUUCUGCUGAAGCUCUUCGAACUCUAGUUGGUAUCAUAGGAAACAUCAUAUGCCUUUUUUUCUAUUUGUCACCAGUGCCAACAUUUGUUAGAAUAUGGAAGAAAGGGGCAGUGGAAGAUUACUCGGCAUUGCCAUACCUUGCAACCCUAAUGAGUUGCAUGGUAUGGACUCUCUACGGGCUGCCUAUUGUGCAUCCCGGGAGCACUUUGGUAUUUACCAUAAGCUUUUUAGGAGUUGUGAUCGAGACUAUCUUACUUAUCAUCUUCUUGAUCUUUUCUGACAAGAAAAAACGACUUAAACUUCUUCUAUUGUUGUUUCUCGAGCUCUUCAUCAUAGCUCUUCUCGCUACUUUAUCUCUAACUCUAUUUCACUCAUACAAGAAGAGAUCUUUGAUUGUUGGUGUCGUCGGUGUUUCCUUCAGCAUCGUCAUGUACUUUUCGCCUUUGUCUGUCAUGAAGCUGGUGAUAUCAACAAAAAGUGUGGAGUUUAUGCCAUUCUCACUCUCACUUGCUGCAUUCUUCAAUUGUCUCGUUUGGUCUACUUAUGCUCUUAUCCGUUUUGACCCUUUUAUCCUUGUACCGAAUGGAUUAGGGGUAGUGUUUGGAGUAGCACAGCUGAUUCUAUAUGGUGUUUAUUACAAGUCAACAAAUAAAAUUAUGGAAGAGAGGAAGGACAAAGAAGUAAUUUUAUCAGAUGUAAUGUUGCAGAUUUUUCGUCAACUCUGAAAUUUGGAUGUUAGUCACUAUUUCGUGUAAUCCAACAAAAGAUUUUGGAGAAGAUUCAUAUGUCAAGCAGUUUGCUAUUGCGUUUUUAAUUUCUGUUUCGUUACUCUCCGCCCUUAAAAUAGAUGCUUCUGCCUCUGGGAGUUGAGGAUUGAUUUUGAAGGUACUCGUGUCGCGUGACGAUAGAGACAGCCCUAAAUCAAAAUGUAUGUGUUAAUUGAAUUUUUGAAUUUUUGCUUUUAAAUAUCAAUAGUUUAACUUGGUUUGAACAAUUAGUUUUGAUCCCAAUAUUAUGGGUCUGUCUUCGAUUACUUCUGCUAUUUGUAAGCAUUCAUCGUGGACUUUAUGCCCCCACAUCGUCAAACAUACUGGUUUGAAGCUA